AUGAAAAUUUAACAGAGUAUAACUUACCUUCCCAUGGUAAAUAAACUAGGAAACUGAACAAAAUUAUAUUAACCCACUAUUUACAUAUAUUGGACAAUGGACAGCACAGGGAAAUAAAAAAAGUGGGCCCUGUGAUCUACCUGACUCCCUAACUGGAGGCACAUUCUAGAUCACGGUGAGGGAAAGGAUCCAAGAAAAACAUGGUAGUCUCAUCGAGUUAAGGUAAAUAAUCAAAGGUAAAAGAGGCAGAAGUCUUAGGGCUGAUAUUUUAGUUUUAGGUCGAGGAGAGCUACCACUACUACUAGUACACACACACACACACACACACACACACACACACACACACACACACACACGCAGCUCCAGAAAUCUACAUAAGGGUAAACUUGAGUGCGUAUUGAUUAUUAAACCAUAUGUGUAUAAGAUGAAAUUCCAUAAGCUAAACAGAGAGCAACUUUUGUGACACUAUAAACUGAAAUAUUCCCAAAGCACAUAGAGAGUUUAAACUCCAACCAUGCAGAAUUAGGAGUUUUCGUCAAUCACCCUAGAAGGGUCACAUUUAGGAGCUGUACUAAAUAACCCUGCAAAGAAAGGCUAGUCUUGACCUGUCCUAAAUCCAAGCCUCAGAAUGAUCCAGGCGAUCUGAAGUAAAUUAAAAAUUAGUGAACUUAAGUAUAUAACUGUGGAAACCAACCUAACUGUAUGGAGGGUAGAAAAAGAAGAUUGAAAAUAUGAGGAGACUCAAUGACCUGGGAGAAAACAUCAAGGAGUUUAGCACAUACAUAAUUAUAAUAUAAGAAGGAAAGGACAAAGAAAGGGAAAACCAGAAAAAUACUUGAAACAAUUCUGGCAUAAAAGUUUCAUUUCUUUCUGCAGUGUAUAUUCGGUUAUAUAUUCCAAUCAGUAAAUGUUUUAUUUUUAUACAGUAGUAUUUUCAUAACUAGAUGAUUUUUUGGUACAUUUCCUAUUUUUCUCCUCAUUAUGUUCAUAUUUGUCUUUAAAUCCUUGAGCAUGUUGUAUAUAAUACCUAUUUAAAAAUCCUUUUCUGAAGAUUCCAUUAUUUCAUUUCUGUGUUCGUUCUAUUAAUUUUCUUCUGAUUAUGAGUUACAUUUUCCUAAUUCUUGACAUAUCUAGCAAUUUUUAAAAUUAGAUAUUAGACCUUGUAUUUGUAAGUUUUUGAAUGGAUGGACUCUAUUGUUUUCCUUUAAAGUUUGUUGGGCCUUGUUCUGGUAGAGAAUUAAUUUACUUCCUAGAAAAGACCCCCCUUCCCCAAAAAAAUGUAAUCUUGACAAUGAUGAAAUAUCACUUCCAUAGUAUUCCUGACAAAAGGACAUAACCCAAGUCUAAUUAUGAGGAAACAUCAAAUAUCCAUACGUUAGAGACAUCUUCAAAAUAACUGGCCUGUACUCUUCAAGAAUCUUGAUAUCUUUAAAGUCAAUUUAAAAAGAAAGAGACCAAUUUGAGACAAAAAUGACAUGACAACUAAAUGCAAUGUAGAUCCUGAAGCUUUUUAUCUUCUUUAUUUGCUAUAAAAGAUAGCACUAAAACAUUGAUCAAAAUUUCAAUAAGUUCUGUAGAUUAUAGAAUAGUGUUGUAUCAGUCUUAUUUCCCUGAUUUUUAUCAUUGUGCUAUGAUUAUGCAAAUGCAAGUAUAUAAGGGCAAAAAGACCUAAUUUCUGAAACAUUCUCUCACAUGGUUGAGAAAAAAUAGCUGUGUGUAUCUACAUAUAUACAGAGAGAGUGAUGAAUCAAAUGAGUAAAAUGUUAACAAUUGGGGAAUCUAAAUUAUAUUUCCAAAAUGUAUAAACAAACAUAGGGAAAAAAAUCAUAUUUGUGGUUACCAGAGAUGGGGGUGGGGGGAGGAAUUGGAUGAAGGCUGUCGAGAGGUACAAGCUUCCAGUUAUAAAUAAGCAUUAGAGAUGUAAUGUAAAACAUGAUAUAUAGUAUAAUUAAAACUGCUGUAUGAUAUGUAUAUGAAAGUAGUUAAGAGCGUAAAUCCUGAGUUCUCAUCACAAAGAAAAAUAUAUUUUUCUAUUCUUAUAGUUUGUGUCUAUAUGAGAUGAUGGAUAUUCAGUAAAGUUAUCGGGUUAAUCAUCUCAUGAUGUUUGUAAGUCACAUCGUUAUACUGUAUACUUUAGACUUAUACAGUGCUAUAUGCCAAUUAUAUCUCAGAGACAGGAAGGAAAAGGAAAAAUGGGGGGACUCUAAAUGGAAUCUAUGUAGGAAUCCUUUCUACUCCUGUUAUAACUUUCCUGUAAAUUGAAACUCUCUCAGAAUAAAGCUCCCCUCCACUAAAAAGCUGUUACACCAAGGCAGCAACCACACACAGCCUCCCCCACAACACACACCUACUCUUUUUUCCAAGAGAAGAGAACCAUCUUUCUCUGGCUUCAAACGGCAAUCUUGCUCCAUCCUCUUCUCCUGCAGGUCUUCCUAGUCCCUAGUACUCUGUAGAAGUCAGACACUUAGUGGCUCAUUCGGCUUUUUGCCAUAAACCCCAGGCGUCUUGAGCUUCAGCUUCACUUACGGGCUUGGAUUUUUGUCCAGAUGGUUAUUUAUCUUGCUUUCCACUGUAACUCUGUCUCACUGCUUUUCUCUUUUUAUGUUUUAAAUGUCAGUGCUAAAAAGUGUAUUGAAGUUUGAAAUUAUGGAACCCAUUUGGACCAAAAAUUUUAUUAGGGCCUUUAACAAAAGCUACAACCACUGUUGGACCAUUGGAAAUAUGUAUUUUGCCUAUAACUAAGUACAAAUAAAAUUCUAAGUCUUUUAAAGUCAUUUGUGGUUUUGGAUAUCCAGACUCAGCAAGUUUAUUGAUUCAGUAGUACAAUCCAUCACCUGGGAUGUUAUAGUGUAUCUAUGAUUACAAUGACCAUGUGACAACUAAUUUAAAAAAUAGCUAAAAAUAAUUCAUGUACUCAUGAUGUUUGAUUUGAAAAACUGAUGCUAUCCCAUGUGAAACAUUUUCAGCAUUCACCCAAAAAAUAUUUUGAGUAUCUACUAUGUGUAAAGUGGAGCUUAGGCAUACGAUAAUAAAUCACCCUUACCAUAGCUUCUAGGACCUCAAGGUCCAAUAGGAAAGAUAAACCAUCAAUAAAUUACCAAGGUGGACCUAAACAAAAAUGUUUCAAAGAGUUCGAAGAAAUGAGAGAUGAAUUCCAUCUCUAAGGGAUUAAAGAAUUCCUCUAAGAAGAGGUGGCUUUGGGGCUAUGUCUUUGGGAUCAUAAAAUUGGGAUCUUGGAGUUCCCAUUGUGGCUCAGCAGUUAAUGAACUAGAAUAGCAUCCAUGAGGGCGAGGGUUCGAUCCCUGGCCUCGCUCAGUGGAUUAAGGAUCUGGCAUUGCUGUGAGCUGUGGUGUAGGUCACAGAUGUGGCUUGGAUCCAGCGUUGCUGUGUCUGUGGCAGAGGUCGGCAGCUGUAGCUCUGAUUGGACCCUUAGCCUGGGAACCUCCAUAUGCUGUGAGUACAGCCCUAAAAAGACAAAAAAAAAAAAA
rnacentral:lncRNA from 1 species